ACUGCUCAGUAACACGUGGAUAACCUGCCCUUUGGGACCGGCAUAACCCCGGGAAACUGGGGAUAAUUCCGGAUAACGCAUAUUUGCUGGAAUGCUUUAUGCGUCAAAAGGAUUCGUCUGCCCAAGGAUGGGUCUGCGGCCUAUCAGGUAGUAGUGGGUGUAAUGUACCUACUAGCCAGCGACGGGUACGGGUUGUGAGAGCAAGAGCCCGGAGAUGGAUUCUGAGACAUGAAUCCAGGCCCUACGGGGCGCAGCAGGCGCGAAAACUUUACAAUGCGGGAAACCGUGAUAAGGGGACACCGAGUGCCAGCAUCAUAUGCUGGCUGUCCGGAUGUGUAAAAUACAUCCGUUAGCAAGGGCCGGGCAAGACCGGUGCCAGCCGCCGCGGUAACACCGGCGGCCCGAGUGGUGAUCGUGAUUAUUGGGUCUAAAGGGUCCGUAGCCGGUUUGGUCAGUCCUCCGGGAAAUCUGAUAGCUUAACUAUUAGGCUUUCGGGGGAUACUGCCAGACUUGGAACCGGGAGAGGUAAGAGGUACUACAGGGGUAGGAGUGAAAUCUUGUAAUCCCUGUGGGACCACCUGUGGCGAAGGCGUCUUACCAGAACGGGUUCGACGGUGAGGGACGAAAGCUGGGGGCACGAACCGGAUUAGAUACCCGGGUAGUCCCAGCCGUAAACGAUGCUCGCUAGGUGUCAGGCAUGGCGCGACCGUGUCUGGUGCCGCAGGGAAGCCGUGAAGCGAGCCACCUGGGAAGUACGGCCGCAAGGCUGAAACUUAAAGGAAUUGGCGGGGGAGCAC
rnacentral:rRNA from 1 species